CGCUAGUAAUCGCGCAUCAGCCACGGCGCGGUGAAUACGUUCCCGGGCCUUGUACACACCGCCCGUCAAGCCAUGGGAGCCGGGGUGCCUGAAGGCCGUGACCGCGAGGAGCGGCCUAGGGUAAAACUGGUGACUGGGGCUAAGUCGUAACAAGGUAUC
rnacentral:rRNA from 1 species